rnacentral:rRNA from 1 species
UACGUAGGGGGCAAGCGUUGUCCGGAAUUAUUGGGCGUAAAGCGCGCGCAGGCGGUUCUUUAAGUCUGGUGUAUAAGUGCGGAGCUCAACCCCGUGAGGCACUGGAAACUGGGGAACUUGAGUGCAGAAGAGGAGAGCGGAAUUCCACGUGUAGCGGUGAAAUGCGUAGAGAUGUGGAGGAACACCAGUGGCGAAGGCGGCUCUCUGGACUGUAACUGACGCUGAGGCGCGAAAGCGUGGGGAGCAAACAGG